AACCAUAGAAACCUGCGGAGUACCUGCGGAAGGAUCAUUACAGAGUGUAACCCCCUGUAAAAUGGGGGUACCUCCCGUCCUUUGCAGGCCCUUUAGGGUCUUUUACACUUUGCUUCGGUGGGGUAACCCACCGGAACACUCUCAAAAAAUUUUGAUUUUAAAAUUGUUCAGUCUGAGAAUUUUGAAAAUAAAAUAAAAACUUUCAACAACGGAUCU
rnacentral:misc_RNA from 1 species